rnacentral:misc_RNA from 1 species
UCCGGUUUGUCACCGGCAGUCUGGCGUGAGUCCCCAACUUAAUGCUGGCAACACGCCACGGGGGUUGCGCUCGUUGCGGGACUUAACCCAACACCUCACGGCACGAGCUGACGACAGCCAUGCAGCACCUUAUUACCGGCCCCUUGCGGGGAAACCUGCUUUCACAGGCGGUCGCUAACUUUCAAGCCCAGGUAAGGUUCCUCGCGUAUCAUCGAAUUAAACCACAUGCUCCUCCGCUUGUGCGG